rnacentral:rRNA from 1 species
CACGUAGGCGGGACAGAAAGUCAGAGGUGAAAUCCCAGGGCUCAACCUUGGAACUGCCUUUGAAGCUCCUGUUCUUGAGGUCGAGAGAGGUGAGUGGAAUUCCGAGCGUAGAGGUGAAAUUCGUAGAUAUUCGGAGGAACACCAGUGGCGAAGGCGGCUCACUGGCUCGAUACUGACGCUGAGGUGCGAAAGCGUGGGGAGCAAACA